AGGGAGUCUAGCUUCAAACCCACAUCUGACUGAAUCUAAUUCCACCUACAGCUUUGAAGGCUCAGAAAACAUAACUGCUUGAAAAACUGAGUUAACUCUAUGACUGCCAGGACAAAAGCUUAGAAUUUAGAAAUGAAACAAUGAAUAAGUAGACAUUUUGCUCUCGUUUUGUUAUUUUUUACUUUAUUUUCCAAAUAUGUUUAGGUUAAAGAAAAGAACAUGGGAUUUAGAGUCAAAUAGGCAGGUGUUUUGAUUCUACCCUUGCUAACCCUGUGACCUUUGGACAGCCUACUUUGUCCAGUGGAGGCAGCCAUCCCAUUCCAACUGACAUUUGUGGGAUAUUAGAGACCAAGAAGUGUUAAGAGAUGAUCUUCACAAAAUGCUGAGCUUGUGUGGGUGUGGAACUACAAACAGGAGAAGACGGAUAUUCACAUGCGGUGGUGGAGGGUUAUGGCUCUCCAGCCUGGAGGAUUGGAGCUUGAGCCAGGUGAACAGUGGGUCCAUUAAAGGGGCAGCUCAGUUCAGCAAGUCAGAGCCUGAACAGGAUGAAAGGGGCAACCCACAAAGAUGAGGACUGAAUUGGAGUUACAGAUCCCAGUUGGUUGGAGAGACCAUUUUCC
rnacentral:lncRNA from 1 species